AAAUACUCUUCUCCUUUUGUCCCCACUUUGUGUUGUUCUUCAUCUGGGUAUCUUCCAGCUCCAUGGCUCUGUCGAUCAUCUUUACUCGCCUUUGGUAAGCUCCAAACUUACUUUCAUUUUUUUCUGUUUUUGCCGAUCUGACCUCUCUUCUUUCUUUCCAGAUUGUCGGUGUUUUAUCCCCAAGUAAAUGAUGGAUCAAGAUAAAAUGUGUAGACGCCUCCUCGUGAGUUCUCCUUCCCUUCAUUUUUCUUUUGCUUCCAUUCUGCUAGUUCACCUUCGUGUUCCUCCCUAUUGGUUUUUGUUCUGGAAUGUUGUGGUGGAAGACUACAUUUAUCCUUCUGUUUGGUGAUCUUGGUGACAAGAACAUUUAGCUAGGUUAAUGUCAAAUAUAUUGUCAUUUGCCAGGCAAACAAACUUAUAUUUGUGCUUCUUAUUUCCUUUGGGUUUGUAAUUAAUGUAACCCCCUUUGUGAAUCUCUGUGUUAUGUGUCUGUAUUUUUCUUCUUUCCUUGCUGAUUCUUGUCUUCAUCAUUGCCUGCUUAUUCUUCGAGUCCUAAUCCUCAGAUUAGGGAUCUGUGAUUUGUCCAUGUUAAUUUACUUUCUUAUGCUUGCUGGUAGGUCUUGAAAACAGUGAUACUCCUUUGUAUUUUGUGCUUCUAUUACUUCAUUAGCUAGCGCAUUUGCCACAGUGUUUCCUUCUCUGAAAAUGUGUAUGAUAUUUCCUUGUAAUGACUGUGAUUUAACCCUUAUAUCUUCUAUUAUCUCUAUUAAUUCCCAAGGAACCUUCCAUUGCUUUUCUAUCAUCCUCUCGAGGGUAAGUGAGUCUGUUUCCAUGGUUAUACCUUGUACAUGUAGAGUUAGACAAAACGCUUCUUUAAUAGCAUAGACUUCUGCUUCUGUAUUGGUACCUAUUCCGAUUCCUCUAGCUUUUGCAUAAAUCAAAUCCCCUUUCUCAUCUCGAACACAAAAAGCUGAAGCACACUUUCCUGGAUUUCCCCAACAUGCACCAUCAAUGUUGCAUUUUAACUUGUCCUUUUCAGGGAAUUGCCAUGUCACUCCCAAGCAGUAUAAUCUUGGUUUGUAUUCCUUCAGCAGGGCAAUAGUGUGAGGCCAACUUUUAUUUCCUAUCUUCAUCCAUGGGUACAAGGUUUUGAUUAGUUUCCAAACCAAGUCUUGUACUUGCCAUACCAGCUCCAUGAAAGUGACAUUUCCUCCAUGUUUAUCUCAUUUCUCCUCUUCCAUAUGAUCCACAUUAUUAUAGCUGGCAUCGCUCUAUAUACUGUCACCAGUUUGGGAGUUGUGUCAAUUGUCCACCAAGUCAUUAUGAUUUGCUUCCAGUGCAUAUCUUCUAUGUCUAUCCCUGCAAAAAUAGCAAAAUGCCUCCAUAACUUAGUAGCUAUGGGUGCAGUUAGAAAUAGAUGGGCCAUUGUUUCCUCGGCCUUCUCCUCACAACACCAACAUCUCGAUGCAAUGCUAAUCUUCAUGAUUUUCAGAUUAUCAUCUGUAGCAAUCUUUCUUUUCCAAACCUUCCAUAAGAAAAAGUUCAUUUUGAAAGGUAAUCCUUUAGUCCAGAUCCUUCUGUACUCCUCCUUAUUUUCAUUUCUCCGUCUCAGUAAUUCAUAGGCUGAUUUCAUAGUGAAAUUGCCUUGUGUACUACCCAUCCACCAAGGCGUGUCAUUCCUCUGUGAAUCAGUAGGAGGUUUUAUGUUUUCACCACAUGUGUUGUCAUUUCUUCAGAUAAUUUGCUCCUCAAUCCCUGUAUAUCCCAUUCUCCACCCCUUAUUAACUCUUGGACCUUCAGUUCCUUUUCUAUUGCAUUUUCUCCAUCUACAUAGUAUAAGGCACCCUGUUGAGUCCAAUUGUCAAACCAGAAGCUAGAAUUUCCAGCUUUUACCUGCCACCAUAUGUUAUGUUCAACCUCGUCCUUUACUGUCAUCAUUUUCCUCCAGACAUGCGAUACUCCAUAUCCCUUUGCCAUAAUUGGGUGAAAUUUUUUGCAAUACUUAUUCCACAUAAACUCACUCCACAGAGAAGAUGUAGAGGUUCUGAAGUUCCACCAUAGCUUAGCAAAUAAAGCUUUAGCCAUCACAUGUAGUGAUCUGAAUCCUAUCCCUCAUUCCUCCCUAGGAUAGCACAUAUUAUCCCAUGACACCCAGUGCUUAUUCCUUGAUCCAGUAGCAUUUGCCCAAAAAAACUUUGCAAAAAUUUUGUGGAGUUGAUUAAUCACAUUGACAUGAGGGUUCAUAGAUGAUAGCAGAUAAAUAGGCAUAGACUGUAGGACGUGAGCAAUUAAAAUGUAUCUACCCCCAAAAGACAACAAUUUAUUCUACCAAAGACUUAGUCUCUUCCCCACCUUUUUAAUCAAUUCUUCAAAGUGCAUCUUGUUUUUUCUUCCGUAGAAAACAGGACACCCGAGAUAAAUGAAAGGAAAAUGACCUUGUCUGAUUCAUGUGUUCCUCUUGAUGUGAUUAACAACCCUCACUGGAGUUUUCUCAUGCAUAUAGAACAUACUCUUAUCCAAGUUGAUCAUCUGCCCUGAAGCCAUUUCAUAAUCCUGAAGUACCUUCAUCAUCAUCUUCAUAGAUCGUUUAUGUCUUGAACAAAAUAAUAUGGUGUCAUCAGCGUAUGAUAAGUGAUUUAUUUUUGGGCUCCACUUAGGCAUACCAUAGCCUCUAAAAUCCUGGUCAUCAAACAAAUUAUUCAGUUGCCUUGCUAGGACCUCUGCCGCAAUGAUGAAAAGGGUAGGUGACAAGGGGUCUCCUUGUUUGAGUCCUCUGGAUGAUUGAAAAAAUCCAUAUGAUUGCCCGUUCAUCAAUACUGAGUACCAGUUGUUGCUAAUUAAUCUCACAAUCAUUUCAAUAAUUCUCUCAGAGAACCCAAAGUUCCUUAAUACCUUUACCAAGAAUUUCCACGACACCCUAUCACAUGCCUUUGUCAUAUCCAACUUGACCACUACAUUGUGCAAAUUACUCCUCCUGUUUAUAUCCCUAACAAUCUCUUAUGCCAGCAACACAUUCUCUGAAAUGCUUCUACCCUUUACAAAUCCUGACUGAUUAGGGGAAAUAAUUUUAGGGAGCACUUUUCUAUUCUUUCAUGCAACAACCUCGAUAUGGUCUUAUUUACAAAAGUGCUAAGACUGAUAGGUCUAAGAUCACCAUAGGUCUUAAUCUCCUCCUUCUUUGGAAUAAGUACUAGAUUAGUGUGAGUCACAUAUUUGGGCAACUCCCAUCCACAAAAAAAAGGCCUUCACCAUAUUUGUAAUAUCUGUGCCAAUAGUAUCCCAACAUGACUGAAAAAAUUGUCCCGAAAACCCAUCAGGACCACUCGCACUAUCCCCAUUUAGAGAGAAGACCACAUGCUUCACUUCCUCCUUGGUUGGCAUUGUUUCCAUCUCUUCAUUAUCUCCGUCUGUGACCAGCUUAGGAAUACAUUGAAGUAAUUCAACGUUAUUCCACUCCUGAUUCUCCAUGAACUGUUCCUUAAAAACAUUGACGGCCUCUUCAACUAUAUUAUGAGAUCUGCUAAUGAUAUCUCCCUGCCUUGUAUGAAUCUCCUUAAUAUGAAGCUUUCUUCUCUUUCCCUUCACAUAAGCAUGAAAAAACUUGGUGUUUUUAUCUCCAUCAGUGUACCAUUUCAUUCCAGCUUUCUGUCUCCAGUACUCCUCCUCUAUAUGUCGAUAUCGCUUCAAAUCUGCCUCCGCCUUGCUGAGUAGGCUCCUAUUCUCUUAUGUUGGAGAAAUUUCUAGCUGCACUUCCUUGACUUUCACUAUAUCUUCAAAAGUGGCAAUUUUCUGAAAAAUAUUGCCAAAAGUCCUCUUACUCCAAGAUGUCAAUACAGUUUUGGUCUUCUUCAGUUUGGUAUGGACAAUAUAAAAAGGGGACCCCCAGAACUUCUUCAUUCCAUCAUUCAUUCAUUACAUUAUGAAAAUCCUUGUGCUUUGUCCAAAAGUUCAAAAACCUAAACGGCUUCACAACUUGUUCCUGUAAUGCAUUACAUAUCACAUGUAAUGGUGUAUGAUCUGAGCCCUGCCUAAUUAAGGGAUGAACCUCACUAUUAGGUAAUAACUGCAUAAAAUCAUUAUUCCCAAAAACCCUAUCCAGUCUCUUAAAGAUGCAAUCGUAUUCUAUUCGACCAUUCCACCAAGUGUAACAACUUCCAACAAAUUUUAGCUCAUUCAAAGAACAUGCACUAAUACAAGAUGCAAAGUCUGCCGUCUCCUGGUUGGUCACUAGCAGUCCACCCAACUUCUCAGACUCAUCAAUUAUAGUGUUGAAAUCUCCUCCCACCAACCAAGGGCUGAUAGUGUGAUCAACAAUAUUUUCCAAAUCUUCCCAUAGCUCUAGUCUCUCCAAAGCACUACACCUUGCAUACACUGUCGUUACUGUGAAUUUAUCAUCAGUUCCCCUUAAUUGGUACUUCAUUGUUAACUGUUGACAUGUAUCUGUUGAAUCUGUCUCCACCCAACCAUUUUCCCAGAAGACCCAAUUUUUUGCUGAACUAUUCACCCUAGCAUUAGGAAGCCCUAAUUUCCUCCUGUAUGUUUCUAAUUCAGAUGGACUUUGAAAAGGUUCUAAUAAAGCAAUGUAAGAAUAGUGAUGUAUUUUAUGCAGAUCUACUAAUCUCUCAAACGCCUUUUGAGUUCUUACAGAUCUGAUAUUCCAAAAUAUAGCCUUGUUAAUCAUUAAUCCGAUGUAAAAGAGGACCCCUUCUUACUCCUUGUAUUUCUUUGUGAUUGAGGUUGAUCCUGUUUGGGUGCUUUCUUUAUCUUCUCUUUCAGGUUUCCAAUCUGCCUUGGAGAGAGAUCUCCACUCUUACUCACAUACUCCUCUCCAUGUUUUCAUCUUCCUCUGUGGUUUUCUUCUCCCUGAUUUCUUGAUUUCUUGUUCUGAUAGGGUAUUAAUUUUUGCCUUCUCCUACGCAAUUUCUUCUUCGUUUAUUUCACCUUCCUCAAUUAAUUUGGAAUCUUGGUUUGUCACUGGUACUGCUUCAUCUUCAUCAGUAGCUCCAACAUUAUCAUUAUACUCUUCCAGUUAAGGGGAAGUAUUUUCUGAUUGUUCUGAGUCCUUGUGCCUAUCCUCUUUGCCUAUAUCAUUUACUGAACUGUGAGCAUCGUGUUGCUUGUUGUUGUCAUUGGACCCUAAUAAUUGUUCGCCAUUUCUUUCCGCUGAUUCCAAUACCACUUCUAUAUUUUUGUUGUAUUCCUCAUUAUUUGUUUUUCGCUCCCCAUCGGUCUGUACUCUUUUCUCCUUUUCAUUGUCUGCCCUCUCAUCUUCUUUAGUGUCAUAUAGUACCCCAAAUUUGUUGCUUGUUGCUGUCCCCUUUUCUUGCACUUGUGGUAUGUGGUUCCAUUUAUGCUCCACUUUGACCUUAUAUGGUUGUCUUCCUCCCUUUUGAUAGGUUUUUCUCCUCUGUUCCUGAAAAACCUCAUUCUCCCCAACUUUUGCUUUUCCUGUGUCCUCCUUUGGUAAUUCUUCAUCCCCUCUUCUCGCCUACUCCUUCUUGUAUGCUUCAGUACCCUCAGUUUCCUGAUAUAGUUCUGGGUGAAUUAUAAAACAUUCAUUCCCAUUGUGUCCUUGAAGCUUACAGUUCUUACAAUACUUAGGCACAUAAUCAUAUUUGAUGGUUAUCCACUUUUCUUUCACUUCCCCAGUUUUCAUCCGCAUGCCUAGAUUUAUUCUUUUCGGAAAAUCUCCUAGCAAGUCCACUUCCACAUUGACCCUUGCACAACUUGGCCUAGUUUUGUUUUUUGUGGCCAAGUCCACUUGCAAUGGUUUUCCUACUUCUGCUGCAAGGAAGAAGAAUGCUUCCUCCCCAAAAAAAUUUGGUGGCAAAGCUGGAAAGGAAAUCCAAGCAAUUGUUGUUGAUGUCUCCUCCGAUGGAUCAAAACAUGGAUCCCAUUUGAGUGUUCGCAUUGGGUACGACAUCUGAUUAUGUGUUAUAUAGAAUUGUGGCUUCGAUAAUAGACUCAUAUAGUCCUCCAGUCUUGAAGCCUGAAUCAAUAUAUACAUGUUGCUCAACAGUCCAAUGCUUACCUCUCCUUCUAGUUCACAUUAUUUUGGGAUCAAUCUUCGUAAAUCUUGAAUAUCAGGCUAGCCAUACAAAAAAUUUCCUAUCACAGCAAACUGUAAAUCUUCUUUGAUAAUCAUCUGAUCCACCUCCUCUUCUUGCCACAAUAUCCUUGGUUCCCCAUGCAGAUAAGAUAUUUGUUUCUUCGGUUUAUAUAAGGUUUGGGGGAGGGGGGGGGUUGAUCAUAUUCACAUGUCUUAUUCAAUGGUUCUUUUGUCAGUGAUAUUGUUGUUGGCCCAGCCUCCUCUGGGGAAGGUUGGUCAACGACUAUCAUGGCCAUGACUGGUGUUUUCUGGUGUAAAUUAGGAUUUGGUGUCAAGGUUUCUUCUUCAGAGUAAUUUAUGUGGCUCCUACGUGUUAUAGGAUUACACUAUGUUGUUGUUACAUGGUUCAAUGAUCAUCAGAUUCAUAACAUUGUUCAAGGUUUAUUGCAAAAUAAACAACAAAUUGGCUUUAGAUAAUUGAAGGAUCCAUAUACUAUGUGUUGUAUUAAUUAUUAUUAUAGCAAGAGCACACUACAAAAUGCCAAAAGAUACUGAAGUCAAGUGUUGGAAUGCAAUGGUACCAUCAAAUCCAGUCUCCAACGCCGAUUAAUUAAUUAGUUUGAGAGGAUAAUUUUGAUUAUUAUUAUUCUUUUUAGAAACUAAAAUAGCUCUAGGCAAGGGACUUUGUAUUUUUUUUUAUUAACACAUAACAAAACUGUCAAUUACACAUGAGAAAAAUAAUAAGUUGCAAAAAUCUUAAAGUAUCAGUUAAGAGCUCAUAGAUUGCCCUAAAUUACAACAUUGGGUAUGUUAUAGAUUGCUCUAAACUGAUAUUACAAAUUAAAGUGCUAGUGUAGUGAAAAUGCAUACUGAAAAUUGUAGAAGAAUCGAACACUUUCACUAUGUAUAUGUUAUCUUCAGUAUAUUUUUCAUCUGCAUACUCAUAAAAGCAUAAAUAUGCCAUAACUAUUACCGUGAAUCAGGUCUAGUGUGUUGGGAUAUAUACUAUUAAUCAUAUGUUAAGAUAUAAUAUUUAUUAUAGAAUAAAUAUUUGCUCAGUUUUAAUAGAUCAUAUAUUCGUUUAUGGUGUCUGUUUACUUAUAUAGUAGAUGAUUUAGGGUGUGUUUGGUAUGAAGGAAAACAUGUUUGGUUGGGUUAAAUAUUUUGGAAAAUGUUUUCCAAAUCAACUCAUUUUCCUCAAAUUUAAGGAAAAUGACUUCCCUUCAAAACUUAAGGAAAACAUUUUCCAAAACUCUCUGUCAACUUCAAAUUUACAAUUAUUUUUUGUUGAAAAAAUCAAUUUAUUUUGUCCCUAUCCUCAAACCAGCCCCCCAACCACCCCUGUCCCCAAAAUAAAAUAAAAUUUUAAAGCUUGUUUUUCAANNNNNNNNNNNNNNNNNNNNNNNNNNNNNNNNNNNNNNNNNNNNNNNNNNNNNNNNNNNNNNNNNNNNNNNNNNNNNNNNNNNNNNNNNNNNNNNNNNNNNNNNNNNNNNNNNNNNNNNNNNNNNNNNNNNNNNNNNNNNNNNNNNNNNNNNNNNNNNNNNNNNNNNNNNNNNNNNNNNNNNNNNNNNNNNNNNNNNNNNNNNNNNNNNNNNNNNNNNNNNNNNNNNNNNNNNNNNNNNNNNNNNNNNNNNNNNNNNNNNNNNNNNNNNNNNNNNNNNNNNNNNNNNNNNNNNNNNNNNNNNNNNNNNNNNNNNNNNNNNNNNNNNNNNNNNNNNNNNNNNNNNNNNNNNNNNNNNNNNNNNNNNNNNNNNNNNNNNNNNNNNNNNNNNNNNNNNNNNNNNNNNNNNNNNNNNNNNNNNNNNNNNNNNNNNNNNNNNNNNNNNNNNNNNNNNNNNNNNNNNNNNNNNNNNNNNNNNNNNNNNNNNNNNNNNNNNNNNNNNNNNNNNNNNNNNNNNNNNNNNNNNNNNNNNNNNNNNNNNNNNNNNNNNNNNNNNNNNNNNNNNNNNNNNNNNNNNNNNNNNNNNNNNNNNNNNNNNNNNNNNNNNNNNNNNNNNNNNNNNNNNNNNNNNNNNNNNNNNNNNNNAACCCCAUCCCCCAGCCCCCAAAAAAAAUUUAAGUUUGUUUUUAAAAAAUAUUUUCUACUCUAGUAAAAAUAAAAGAUAUUUCUCAAAAAUAUUUUUCAUUCAUAAAUUAAACACAAAAUCUUUUCCGAAAAAUAUUUUCUACUCACCAACCAAACAUGAAAAAAUAAGUCAAAAAUCAACUUGUUUUCCAUGAAAACAUUUUCCUUCAUACCAAACACACCCUUAGUGUGUAUAGUUUUAGCUUAUACACAUAUGAUUAAAUCAUGGGUUCUUAUAAGUAUAAAGUUUUUUGUUCACAAUCUAGGAUGAAAAUUGGACAUGUCAUCGGUACGAUUGUAGCACAAGAUUAUAUGUAAUUUAUCUUGAUUAUGAGAACGGUAUAUUUCCAACCUCUUGUAUUAGUGCAUUUUGUAUGUAUUGAACAAGAUCGAGUAGAGAUAGUUAUUUUAGACUGACCGACAAAAACAUAUUCUCUAAACUAUUAAAUGUACUUAUAUUCUCAAUUCUGAUAUAACUAUUAUGAUCUGUAUAUAUUAAUUAUCGUUUUGAUUUAUUAAAAGGUGAGAUUCUGAGAUGGGUCAAUAUGCCUGGUAGAUUGGAUGAUAUUAAUAUAUAUUGGUGAAAUAUUAAGUUAGUUGAUGGAAUCCAUGUCUCGUUAUAGAGAUUGAUUGAUAUGCCUUUUUGAGAAACUUAUAAGUUUUCAUCGUGUCAAACCUUGUAACUGGAUUUAUGAAUCCAACACAUGAAAUAAGUUAAGUAGUGCUAUAAAGAAAAUUAAUCAUUGAAUUAAAUUCGUCAGUAACUUAAUUUAUUGAUUAGUAUCUGUAAUCUUAACAUGGGGAAUUACAUAAGUGUUUAAUGGGGAAUUACAAAAUAUAAAUAGAGGAGUGCAAUUACGAAUUUCUAGUGGAAUGAUUUGUAAUUUAUUAUGGUAAGAAUAAUUCAAAUUAAUUAUUUGGAAUUAUUUCCAUAAUAGGAAGCCUCAGUAAUUAAUUAUGUGGUCCCUACAGUGCCCAUAUUUAACUAGAACUCAGAAUUUUAUUUCUAAGGAAAAGGAAGAAGAAAGCGUUAGUUUUUGGUUCAAUAAAACCAAUGUGUGGUUUUUCUUGUGUCCAAGGAAAACUGGGGUUUCUUCUCCUUUUUGGAUUGGAAAGAAAUCUCUAUAAGUAGGGAUUCUCCUAACCUAGAAUGAGAUUGAAGGUUUCUAUUCAUACUUGCCCACCCAAGUAUUGAGAGAGUUCAAAUGUGAACUUGGGAUCACUGUAGAAGACCAUAGCUAUUGUCUAUCUUGUAGAUUCGCUUGAAAGUUUGUCUAUCUUGGGGAUUCACUUGAAGGUAUCUGUUCACGCUUCAAGAGGUAAUUCUUGAAUUAAAUUUCAGUAAGUUUGUGUGUUCUAGCAUAAACAAUAUUGGUUAUCUAUUAUUCAUGCAAGCAGUAAGAUUCUGGUAUGCUUCCGCUGUGUUAGAAUGUAUGCGUCCACUAGCUACGAUAGGAUCAGGUCCUCAGUACGAUUUAUAGUCACAAAAAAGUAAAUAACUGCUGAAAGUAAAGAUUGUACACACAACUUUACGUGGAAACCUCAUUGCUCAAGGGAGUAAAACCACGACCUGUCUCACAUGAAUUUUCAAACUGCUUUUACUAAUCUUCACAAGCAAAAGUAAAACCCAGUUUACAACAUGAGAUUAGCCUGCUAAUCCCCACAUUAAGUAAUACUGCCUAUUACUUAAAAUGAGCCUAAGAAGAUACAACACUGCCCACUAUACUAACCAACCGAUUAAUAUAGACUUUGACGCAAGACACUAAGUUACUCACAACUAAGUUCUUACAAUGAUUCACCCAAGGUUGAAAUGUUUUUAUCACAAGCGAAACGAUUCCUACAAUAUACGCACAAAUACAAGCAAUCAAAGUAAUAGCUGAAACAGGAAGCAAUAAUGCAAUCUAUCAAGUCCCUUGCUGUUUUGAAGCUUGAUUAUCUCUCUUUGAAUGAAUGAGUUAAUUUGUUGUUUGUGUGUUGAAUAUAUCAACCAUGAAAAGUUGUUGUCCAACGUACAAACAACCUCGUCCGUUCUGAUUGGUUCAAGACACUGGCGCCUCACCAACGACUGAUGUGACAACUUUCCACCUGUCUAGCAUAUAGACCUGGACGAGCAUACUCUGCAGAGGACCGGGUCCCUGCACUUGUGAGGAUAUCAUCAAAAUAUUCGAAAGCAUUAAUACUUAUCACGUUGUGCAUAUAGUUUUCCAACAUAGUCAUCUCCAAUUAUAAUCAUCUGACUCUAUUUGAAUUUUUAGUGUUGAUGCCUCAUCCGUCAUUUAAGGAUUAGAGGCUUUGUACAUGUUAGAUUCACCAUUUAAGACUUAUUUGAGGAGUAUGGCAUGGGUUGAGAUCUGGGAGAUUUGGGUGAAUUCUUUUUUGGAGCCGAAACACCCCGAUAGGAUUAGAGGUACCAAAUGAGCGAUUUGAGUUGUCUUUGAGAAGUUCAAAAUGGAUUGAAUUUACAAAUGAGCGGGUAUUGACCCCCAAUAAGUUACUUGGACAAUGGGUAGAAUUGCGGGUCAUAAUCAAACUUGUCUAAUUCUUACUAAGUUUUAAUUGUUUUUUUUUCUGAGUAAAAGGCACCAAAAAGAAAGCUAACUAUGUACAAUUUUUAAUUGUUUAAUUUGCUCUUGUUUUAAAUAUUUUUUUGGUACUUAAUAUAAUAUUUUUUUUCUUUAUUAUGACUAUAUAUAACAUAUCAACAAAAAAAAUUAUCUUUUUAAAAUGAGUAGGUCAAUAACUUAGUCAAACUUGAACCUGUUGAGUUUGAUUUUUUCCACCCCUAAAUGGGAUGCGCCAAUUUUAUUUUUUUGGUGUAACCACAACAUUUCACGAUCACAUAAUAGGGCCUAGGAACGCAUCAUGGUUGUGUGUGACAAGUCAUGUUUGUGAAGAAGGUUUUAUUGACUACUUUCACUGUCGUGUAACCUCUAGUCUCAAUCACAAAGGGUAAUGGUGGCAGGUAGUUAAAUAGCGCUCUUAGGAUUUUAAUUCAUUUCAAGAAUUUCCGGGUUUUGGAGUUCGACUUUACGUGAUUUUCAAGGGAGAAAUUUUCAUUUGAGUUAGAGUAAGCCUUUUAAUUUUGGGUUUGCUUAUUUUACUUGACUACCCGUGAGACUUAGACAUAUAUUGAUAUGUUGGUAAUUUACCUACUUAUAUGGUUUUUAAGCAUAUUUUGUUGUACGUUUUUGGAGAUAAAAAGAGUAUAUUUACAAUGUUUUAGCCUUGUAAGACAUAUUUUCAUGAGUUUCAGGUGAUUGAGUUGAAACUAAAUCAAAAAAGUGUAAAAAGGGGAGUUGAAAGUGAUCUAAAUAACUAUUGCUAUAAAUAGUUGGUGAUUCAGUCGCAAGUCCAUAUGGGACGCUGCAUCAUGUAGUUCAUAGACCACAAAUUGAGGUAGAAUGGGUGUAGAAAAAACUUGAUAUGCAGUGCUCUAAUGUGUACGCAACUCUAGAUGCAGUGACACAUCUCACCUACCCUUCAUCGCAAUUUAGGCGCGUCAAUUUGAUUGAGCUUCACUAUGUGGCGAAGUAGAUGUGAUCGCAUUAGCACUCCAAAUUUUUGUUAUGUAUUUUUAGAAACUACAAAUACAUAUUUUUAGGAUUUACUUAAGAGUUCAAUUUUCAUAUGAUUUUUAAGUUCUUGGAGUGUAACUUUUGUUGGAAACAUACACUCAUUUUCAUUUCCACAUUGUGAACGAGUUAUUGUGGAUCUAACACUCUUUUGGUUCUUGAUUUUAAUACUUGAUCCUUGUAAACAUGCUUUUUUAAGAUUUUAUUUCAACUUCUGCAAUAAUUAUGGGUAACUAACCCUAUAGCUAGGGUUGUGGAACCCUGAAAGAAGAGUAACAACGAAAGUUGUCUUGUUAGAAAUUCUAGAUGAUAUUUCUUGGUAUAUGAUUAGUUUUUUCGAUUUGGAUGGGUUCUAAUGAAACGCCUGCAUUAGAAUUCACUUGUAUUCUAAAUUUACUUGAAAAAAUAGGUUAGGAUUGGCAAAAAAGAACUAAGCACAAUGAUUUGAGAAUUGUGCUCCAUCUAAAGACUUGAGACCUGACGGAGAGAGUCUAUGCGCGACAUAGGUUGAUAAUCAUUAAAGAAACACAAGUACCGCAAGGACUUAAGGUGCCAUCUUCUACAUGAACCGAAAAGACUCUAGAUGUACUUUAGAAGUCAAUCGUUUUACACCUAAGACUACUUAUUUAGAGUUUUGUUGAGGCAACUGAAUCAAAGUUACGACCUAAAAUGGGAAGCCACAACCUUAGUUUCACUUUCUUAUUGUUAAACACAAUCAAUCUUUAGGUAUUCAUCUUACUAAAUCACACUCUUUAAAAAAUUUACUUUACAUGUCAUUUUAGAAAUAAAGACCAUCUAUUUUGAUUAUGCCUAAGAGUAAUAUUCUCGAUGAGAUUUGACCAAACCUUGUUUGGAUUCUAUUUUUGACAACGAUCACUUCAUACAUUUUCAGAGCUGUAAUUUGGGUGUAUCAAAUUUUGACACCGUUGAUGUAGGAUAUAGUUUAGAUAUUAAUGUAAGUGUAAUUUUGACGCUUAGCCUUUAUUUCUCAUAUCACUUUCGUUUGUUGUUGUUGUGCUAUAUCAAGUUAACUUAGUCCAUAUCCGAUAUUAGAAGUAAAGGAAAAACUUUACUUCUUAUUGAUCUGAAACUUGAAAAGACACUAAGAAGCCAGAGAAAUCUACUUGAAUAACUACGCCGAGUAAUAGGGGAUCAAAGAACACUAAAGGAAAUUAAAGUCACACAAGUUCAAGCUAAAUUGUGAUUUGAACAUGAGGAUCAGAUAAAAAUUAGAAGAUUGGUUUUGCUAGUGCUAUCAACCCCCUCCAUUAGCGAGAACAACUACUUUCCACAUUAAUGCAACUAUGCUAAAUCUAUUGAACCAAAUGGAUUGUUUGGUGGUCACAGUCUAGAGGAUCCAAACAAGUUUCUGAGGACUUCAUUAGGAUAUUCUUAGUAUUUGCUUUUCCAGGGAUCUCGAGAUGGGAUUCGUUGGUUCUUGAGAGGUUCUUCCUUCCAUCAAACAAGAUUCAACUUAGGGAUGAGAUUUAAAACUUCAAACAUGAACUAGGGGAGCCCCUUCAUGAAGCGUGGUUGAGGUUCGGAAGAAAGUUAUUACACUACCCAAAUCAUAGGGUGCUAGAUGAGUUGAUAUUGGAGUACUUUUAUAUGGCCCUUUAUGUCGUGAACAAAUUGGUGGCCAAUAAUAUUUUUAAGGGGUCGCUGAUUACAUUUGAGCAGGCAAGCUAUGUUAGACAAAGCUAUGAAAACCAACAGAGUCUUGCAUAUAAGAGAGUGUGAGGUAAACAGAUUGGCACUGAUAAUGUUCAACUAUACCUCAUGUUUAAGGAAUAUGCGGUCAUAUACAAAGACAAUACCUAACUUUUAAGGUCAAGGUCAAACUACAAGAACCGACAAAGAGGAUUAUGCUUGUAAUGACCCUCCAGGUUAUUUUCCAAUCUUCUCGGCAUUUAGAGAUUUUCUGUAGCAACUCCGAGUUGUUUAUGACUUAUUGGCGCUGACAAUCUUGUCGCCUAGUCAUUCGUUUUAGUUUUGUGCAAGUUUUUCCAUUUUGGAGGUUCUGAAGUAUGAAUAGUUGACUUCGGUCAAAACUUCAAGUAAACGACUCCAAAAUGUAAUUUUGGUGGAUUUUUUUAGCUCCAAAAUGUCAACUUUGAGUUACUAGAAAUUCACAACAUUCUUACAACAACUAUGGAUGCUACUCACAAAAAUUUUCAGCCAAAAAGUAAAAAGUUCACAUAAUGAAAAAUUUACUUUUAGAAGUGACGUUACCUAAAUCCAUCAUAGAUCCAAUUCAUGCACUACAUAAACUCAAAUGGGUUACUCAGAUUUCAACCCCAAUUAAAAUUCAAAGCACUCUACCAGAGAUUUCAACUUGCAUUUUUACUCAAUCAAGCACAACCCAGACCUAAACAUUCAAAGCACAAAAACUCAUUUUCAUUGAACCAAAAUCGAAACUCUAAUCAUAAAGGGGUUUGGGGGAAAUCAAUUAAGUAUGGAAUCAUUUGCACAAUACAAUAUUAUCAAAGCUUGAAACAAAGAAAAUGGAUUAACAUUCCAAAGUAGUUGAAGAAUGUGAUAACUAAAAGCUUGGAGUGGAACUUUUGAGCUUGACCUCAAAGGAUAUACUGACCUUUAAAUUGGACUAUUGAGAGAAGAUGAAGUUUGUGUUAGGAUGGCGGUGUGGGAAAUGAGUGGCUUAUAGGAAGAAAAUGAAUGUUUGAAGUUGGGGAGUGUAUGGAGAAGUGGAGAGAGUGAAAUGGGGAAGUAGGAAGAGUGGAAAAUGAAUAAGGAAUGAGAAGAAGGGUUGAACAACCCUUGGGUUCUUUUUCAAUCAAAAUCCCAACUUUGGGUCUCGAAUGAGUCAAAAUUAAAAACCUUUCAAAAAUAACUAAUUUGUGUUGGAUCGACGUUUCUCUGAUGCCCUCAUGCCAGUUGCAAGUUCACACAGAAGUUGGAUUUUGUUGCUAAUGCAGUGUGUCACGCUGGCUUUGGACCUGCAUUAUAGGGUUUGGAACCUACAGUCCACUGGUCUGGUGCAAACAACUUUUUCUUUGCAAUUUACUGUUUCAUACUUACAUUUGGUUGUUUGAAAAUGAAGUUUCACCAUUCUAGCAUUGAUGGCCAUAAUGAACAAUUUCUUCAUUUUUUACUCGGCAUCUUUUUUACAUCCAUGAAACAAACCAAAAAUAACAAAAAGUGAAGUAAGAAGAAAUUUAAAGACACCUGGGUUCCCUCCCCAAAAUGCUUGAUUUAACUUCCCGGUACAAUGAAAGUACCUCAUUGUUCAACUGAUUUCUAAUAGUACCUCUUCUUCGCAUGGACCUUAAACAAGCUUGUCCAUUGCUUCAAGUACCGACUCCAUCCAACAUUCAUCAGCCUUGCAAACAUUAAACCUUAAGUCAUCAUCCUAACUCUAAACUUGAGUUUUCCUAGCUCCGCAACUACUAAUGCAUACUCCAUGGUAAGGAAUGAUUGGCCUAAAAUAAUAGGCACCUCAAUAUCAAUUUCAUAAUCCAACACUACCAAAUCAACUGAGAGAAUAAACUUGUCUACUUUGACCAAGAUGUCAAAUAGGAUUCCAACCGACCUUUUAUAGAGCACUCCACCAUUAGAAACUGCAUCAAAGUGGGUUUCAGACAUCCUAGGCUCAAAUACUUGAAAAUCACAAGGGGCAUCAAGUUUAUACUUUCCCCUAGGUCACACAAGGCUUUGAUAAACAUGUACAUCCCGAUGGUGCUCAGAAUUUUAAAAUCUCCCAUAUUCUCUCUCUUUGGAGUCAAAUUACUAGCCAUCAUGAAACUACAAUGAUGUGACCACUCGAUUGUUCCCAGAUAAAGCACCUUAUUUUUCUUCAACAACUCCUUCAUGAACUUUGCAUACCCUGACAUUUGUAAGAGAACAUCAACCAAUAGUAUGUUCAUGGACAACUUGCGAAACAAAUCAACAAAUUUUUUGAAUUGGCUAUCUGCCUUUUUCUUUAUCAAUAUUUGAGGAUAUGGAGGAGGAAAAUUAGACACAUCUCCCUUAGUGAUUUCAUCCCCUUCAUUCCUCUCAACAUCCACCGUACUAGGAGGUUCAUCUUUCUUCUUAUCUUCCAAGCUUACCUUCUCAAUAUUUAUACAAUCAUCAUCAAUGAUAUAUAGUUGGCAUUAGUGCACUAAGCUUCACUCAAUUAUCCACACUUUCACUCAAAACCUUUUAAAGCAUGACAUUGAUAUUAUCAAGCAACUUACCACGUCUAGUGACUAUUUCCAUGCAAAUGACCGUCAUUGUUGGAUUGGGAAAAGUGUCGCUAGGAAGCUUACCUUUGGCCCUUGCAUUCAUUUGAGAUAAAAUAUGGUUCAUUUGAGAUAAAAUAUGGUUCAUUUGAGAUUUUAAAUGUUUUAUUGAAGUGGAGUCAGGGGUCAAAUUUUGGGUUAAAUUUGACACAUCGCUUUUAAGUUCCUUAACCCAAUUAUCUGUAGAUUUGGCCCUUCCUAUAACAUGGCUCAACAUCUCUUUAAUUUUUGAACUCAUUGGGCCACGCACACUUGGUUGAUUUUCUAGAGUGUCAAUCUUUUUUUGAGGUACAUAUGGAUUUGAGCUUUGGUGAUUGUACCUCUCAUCCACUAUCGCACGACCCUCUCAUGCCACAGACUUUCUCAAUCUAUUUAUGGACCAUCAUAGUCUCUCCAACCUUGAUUCUUUUUAUUGAGGACGCCAAUGACCUUGAUUGGUUCUUUGGUACCCCAAUCGAGAACACAUCAAACGAGGCAUAAACAACCUCUUCCUCAUGAGAUGGCAUCCUAAAUGAUCGGAUACAAUUCACUUUUUUCAUCCUGAUACCCAAUAUGUUCUUGGCUCAGAGUUAUAUAUGUGCCAUCAUCUUUUCCUUUUGCUCAUCUCUUUCUUCCUCUUUUGUCCGCAUCUUAUUUUUCAUACUAGUGGCAACUACAACCAAAGGUCGUUCAGUUCUCUUGUAUGCCAUGUCAUGACGGUCUUUAUCAUAUGAUUAAGGAUGACAGUGGCAAAAGAAAAGUUAGGUCUAUGAUAGAACCUCCAGCUAAGUUGUUUGAUUCAAACUUGUUAACUAAAUCAAAAGUUUGGUAAACAUUCUGGUAGAAAAACUUCAUCUGACAUCAAUUGAUUUAGACACUACAAGACGUUAUUCAUGAGCCUCAACCACACUUCAUGAAUGGCAUUCCCCGGUAAUUGUUGAAAAUUGUUGAUCUCAUCCCUAAACUAACAAGAUUCCAAUCAGGGAUGAAUCCAAUUGAAAUCAAAUGUGGAAUUCAAAUAACACAAAAGUAAUAUAGAUAAGAAAUAGGGGAUGAAAAGGGAAGAAAGAAGGGAUAAUUGUAUACACAAUCAAACAAGGGGGGGGGGGAGACUUAAUUCAAUAGAAAAGAGAUACUCAUUUGAAAUCCACAAAUGAAUGACUCAACAUGAAAUCAAGAGCAAGAAGUCUUCAAUCAAUAAUGUAAAUCCACCUAUCCCUAAUCUAGAUUUAACUACUCUAAACUAGACUAACCUAAAGGGAAUCCACCCUUAAACUAGACUAACCUAAAUGGAAUCCACCUUUAAACUACACUCUUCAAAGAGUUUACUCAUACAUCAUAAAUCUAUAUUUAAGAAAAAUGGCUUAGGCAUAUAUUUAUAGGAUACCUCUUACAAGAGUAACCCUUUUGCCCCACAAAUAGCAACAAAACGGCAAAUUCAAACUAUUUAAAAUGUAGCCACAAAUGGUAAUCCUUCCAACUUUCUACUCAUCCUGGAUAGUUUUACUUUUGUUCUUCCACGCUAUCAUUCAUACGAGGAAACCCUUCUAUUUGUGCCUAAUAAGAUCCUCCCAAGCUUCUCUUUGUAUCAUCAUGGAUUGUGUAGCUCGAGGGUAUAUGUAUAGCAUAAAUUAUGCUAACUAUACUUAUAUCAUCCUCCCUUCUUCAAAAGAAUUCUUCCUCGAGUCCAACCAAACCUUUCAAAAAUAAAAGAGAAACAAACUACCAAAAGCUCCUCGUAGUAUGAGGGCUAGUACAAUGGUAAGCACAAAAAGAAUUACACCAAGUAUCCUCCAUUCUCAUGACUAUUAAGUCCAUAGGUCUCUCCUCACAUCAAAGGGAUAAUAACACCCACAAGAUGGUACUUCUACUAGCUCAGAUCCCUACACGUUCACUGGGAUCAAAAUGAUAGAAGGUCCUCAUAAUCGGGUCAUACAAAUAAUUAUAAACCUCAAUAAAAUUUCAACCCACAUGCAAUCCAUAUCUAAGUCAAGUAUGAGACUCAUCAUAUUCAAAGAGAUAGUAUAUAAAGGUUUCAUGCAUAUUGGAUUCAUUUAAGGUGUUCCUAUAUGACAGACUACAACUAGAUUCAAGGAUCCUAGCACUCAUUACAUCACAAGAUGGAAAACACAAAGAUAACAUGACAAAUUUAGGAUCAACCUCACCUUCUCUUGACAAAUAACUCCAAUCCCCGUAAGAGUCACAGUCAACAAGAUUAUGAAUAGCAUCAUACACAAAGAGGUAGUAAAUAAAAUGGGUAAAAACUAGCCUUCUCUAUUCACACUGUAGGCCCUGAUGUACCGUUAAUAUACGGAAUUUUUUAUGCAUAAAACUUAGAGGUUUGCAUGAGUUUUAGGCAUUUUGUUAGUCUAUGUGAUGGUAUUUUGAUCUUAUUUUGUAGAAAAUAGGUUUUUGGAGCAGUUGAUAAUUAAGGUGUGAAUAGGAUUUCUUGGUAACAUACGAGCCAUCUAUGAGUCAUCGUUCCAUUGACGAGCCAUAGAUGGAAGGUGUGGGUGAUGUGCUGAGAAAGAUGGACUAAGUAUGAAAUGACGGAGACGACUAACGAGCCAUAAGUCCUAUGACGAGCCAUCGAUGAUGAGUCGUAGAUAACUUCAGAGAAGAUGAGUUCUAGUCCAUAAACAAUGGUUAAACAGGAUGGGACAUGCUUAAACCUACGAGCCCUAGGUCAGGCCCAUCGAUGACACCCACUGAAAUAUUCGCUAACUGCUGAAGGAUGAAAACACUUAUGAGCAGUCGUUCCUUCGACGAGCUGUAGGCGGAUUUCCGUUGGUGACACUGCCCAAAACCAUAUUUCUUUAAGAUUUAUUUUCCUACUUGGUUUAGGAUUUAUUUUCUAUAAAUAUUAGUUGUAAAUUUCAUUUUUGGGGUGUUAGACCUUCUGUGAUACUUUAUUUUGGCUUUGAGAAUUAUUUUGCGAACAUUUUUAGCAUUUAAUUCUUGAAGUGUGGUUUAUGAAAUUUGUGUUUGUUCUUCAAUUCAAGAUUUUUGAUUUCAUCUAUUUUGAUUUUAAGUUCAUGAUUUAUAUUAUUAAGAGAAAAUGGUCAAAUGCCCCCCUAAUCUAUACUCGAAUUUCCAACUACACACUUGAAUUUCAAGGGGUCCUAUCACCCCCCUGAACUAUUAAAAAUUGAAAUUAUUACCCCCCUAAAAAGUCACAACCACAUUUAUGUUGAUAAGUGAAAUGCACGCGUUUGACAGGUGGAAAUUUUAUAAAAACUUUUUUUUUAGUUUUCCCUUUUUGAUUCAUCAUUUAAAAACUUUGUUGAAGGGUUAAAAGGUCAAAAUUUAUAGAUUUGUGUCUUUUGAUCUUCUUAUUUGAAUUUUAUUGAUUAUAAUGUUGAUUGUUAGUUGUUUGAAGCUGAAAAUACUAGUUAAUUGAGUUCAUAGCUACGAUUUUUGUUUUGAAGAACGCCGGAUUUCCAUGGAAAUGGAUAAGCUUCCAUAUGAUUUUUUUGAAUCUAUAUUCUUGAGUUGGGAGCAAGUGAUUUCGUUGAUGGUUUGAAGAAUUUCGUGUGGCUGGAAAUUGAAGUUCAAGGUUGAAACCAUGAAGCACAACUUAAACCACCAUUAAAGUUAGUUCAAAAGCUUGAGUUCUUAUUUCGACUUGUCACAAACAAUCUCCGUUUUGAGAGGGUAAUAUACCAAAAGAAUCGAAACGGUGAGAAAAGUUUAUAUCUAGAAUGUGGAGUGAUUUGAAGAAGAGUUGAGGUGAUUUGGCAUCAAAUUUUUAUACCAAUUGUUCUAAAGAAGAUGAAGAACUGGGUUACAUUUUUAGAUUUGCAUGGAAAUUAUCAAUUGUUAAAUAAGUUGAGUAUUAUUUGAAGCUAAAAUUAGAUUAAUCCACUGAAUUGAUUGUCUGAAACAUGAAGAAGGAUAUGUAAAACGACAUUGAUGGAACUUGAGCUUCAAACUUGAGAGAAAUCAAAUCACAAAAAUUGACAAUGAUUACAAGAAUUUAUGUGGGUCUAUUGGAAAUUGAAUAUAGGAUUAGAAAUUUUCCUUGUAUUGAAAGUUUAUUGAAGAAAUUAGUUGGUUGUCACUCUAUUAAGCUUAUUCAAGCUUAAAUUUGUUUAGAUUUGAAAGAUUUUGAGUCCAUAAUUCUUAGUAGAAUGUCGGGGUGGAAUUGUUAUCUACAAUUUGUGGUGUUUAAAUUGACAUAGUAAUGACAGUGAUUUCAAGAUGAUGAGUUACGAUGAAAUUUGGUGGCUGCCAUUGAUAAUCUACUUCUAAUAGGUAUGAAGAAGAAAACAAAUUAGAAUUAGAAACAAAUACAAGAAAAAGGAAAAAAAUAAAAAUAUGUACAUUUAUGAAAAAAAUAUUAAAAGUAAAGUUUUAAUAUUUAUUUUUGAGCUUCACUCUCGCAAAGAGAGUGUAAUACACUCACUUUGCCACGUAUGCAUUUAGGGAGGUAAUAAUUGUAGUUUUAAAUAGUUUACAGGAGUGAUAGGACCCCCGUAAAAUUUAAGUGUGUAGUUGGAAAAUCGAAUAUAGUUUAGGGAGGUAUUUUACCAUUUUCUCUAUUACUAACCCUAGUAUGAAUUGUGAUAACUCAUGCAUAAAUAACUAAAUCCACAACUAGGGUUGUAAGAACCAUUAGUAAUUAAUAACGUAAAACUAAUAAUUAAGUAAUUCUGAAAUAGUGUUUAUGAAUGUAGUGUCAAUCUCUUCGGCUUGAAUGUUUUUUUAAGGUGCACAACGUUAGAACACACCUCAUUCCUACUUGAUCGACCAAGAAAGUAAUGAAUGAGAAAAAGGUUAAACAACAUAUAUUUAGCGUGAUAAUCCGCUAUCUAAUAAACUGACCCAAAUACGCGAGGGCUAAUCUAGGGUCAAGGUAAGGGUUAGUAAAGCAAACACCCGUAGACCGACCAAGUUGCAUGGUGAAAUUCCCUACUUGGACGACCAAUCACAUAAGAGAUACCUAACUUGCCGAUUUUUUAUGUUAAUGUAACAACUCAGAUACGAAAAAGGGAAAAAUAACAAUUUUCAAAAGUUCCUGGUGCCAUCCAACGGAGGCCAACCACGACCCAUGGAGUGAACCAAGGACUGUAGGUCUAGUCUGUGGAUUGGCCACCAAAAUAGGCUCAGAGGAUCACGAACCACAACCUGGACCAACAAACCAUCGCUGGGUCCAUGAUCCGCGGAAUGAAGUCCAUGGAUCAUGGCCUCAAAAUCCAGUAGCUGAUGAAGAUGACGGACGUGCAGGAUGGACCGUCGGUUAAAUCAAGAUCCAUCAGUCUAGGACCAUAGGUUGAAGGUCGGCAGUUAUUCUAGGGGCAGUUAGGUCUUUUCCUAAUUAUAUUACCCUAAUACUAUGCCGUUUUGCCUAUGCGUAAGACACCUAUAUAAGUGAUUUUAACCCCCAAAUUAAUUCAUUCACUUCAUUCUCUUCAAAUUCACCAAAAGAAGUUGAGUCAUUAUCUCCCAAAGAUAUUUCUCUCUUUAGAAGGUUGAAGAAGAAGAUUCAAGCUAGGGUUCAAGAUAAAGCCUUCAUUCGGGAUUUGAUAGUAAGGUAUGAUAGUUUUCAUCCAUGGAUUCCUUCCAUUCAUGGAGUUCCCAAAUUCUCCUAUUUUCAAAGUUAGAAAUCCCCAAUUGUGUUAGUGUUUUAUUCAAUUGCCAUGGGUUCUCUUGAUUAUUGAUUUAAAUGAUUGAAUUAUGAUCUCUUAUGCAUGAAUUGAUGAAAUACUAUGAUUUUGUGAUGAAUCCCCCAUGAACCCAUGUAAAUCCCAUGUUUUCCAAUUAUGAUGAUGUGAUGUGGGUUUUGAAUUUAUGAAAGGGGAGAUUAUGAAUUAAACAUGUUCUUAUGAGAAUUAUGUAAAUGUUUUAAGGAUGCUUUGAGAGUAAAGUAUCAAUUAUGAUUAUUGUUGUUGUGUUGUUGAAAAGAUUUCUCGUAAACACAUUAGAGCAUGAUUUGUGAAAGGAAAUCCUCACAUAAAGGAUUCUUAGGGUUUAAAGGUUUUCACAACUAAACUAUGAAUCAAAGAUCUUAGGAGCUAUUCUAAUAAGAUCUAGCUUGAAUCGGUUACUUAAUUGUACCUUUCCAUGAAUAAUGCAUUACCUAGCUUGGAUUGGUUAUUGAAUGAUACCUUUCAAUGGAUGACAUAUGACUUAACUUGGAUUGGCAAGAUGACGUUCCCUUCCAUUGAUAAUAAACAAGUUAAGAAAAUGACUACUUUGUGGGAAUUAUGCUUAGCAGCGAGAGGAUAUUGAUAUGGAGGCUCUCCCGUUGGUAUAGGUUAGGUUUCUAGUAGAAAUCUCCUUAUCCCUUACCUAUGUGCCCCCAUAGGAUGAUUGUCUAGAUAGACAUUAGCUAGUGGAUCCACAAUAGCUAAAAUUUCAUGGUCCCUCCUUGUCAAGUAGGACACCCUUUUUUGGUGUGGGAUAGACACCGGAUUCCAUGUUGAUAGCUCACAUGGUAUUAUAUGUCGGUUAAGGCUAUUUCCCACAAAUAAGCAAAGUAAUGAUGAACCAAGGUUACUUCAAGGAAGUAUCGUAAGUAUGUUUUAAGAUGAUGUUCACUUGCAUUGAUCAUGGAUUUAUGACUUAUGGUUUUUAACUCUCAAGAUACAUGUUUUAGCUUGAUCAUUUCAUACUUAUGAAAAUGUCCCUUUUUAGCAUGAUUUAAAUUUUUUAUGCAUGGCUAUCAUACUUAGUACAUUGUUUUGUACUAACACAUACUCUUUCCUAAGUUUCCCCAAAUAUAGGAUCCGACUGUCAGGAUUCUCAGAUUUGUGGCUAGAGGUUGAUUUGCGAGAUUCCCGAGCUUUGGUGAGUCCUCAUGCUUCGAGGGCGGAUUCUCAUUAUUUUCAAUUUCUGCCUUACUUUCAAUUUUGGACAUGAUGUAUGGGCUAGGACUAAUUCCAUUCUAUUGUAUUAGAAGGCUGUUGAGACAAGUGUUUUAGACAUUCGAUUUACUUUUAUAAAACUUCUGGACUUUAAAUGUUGUCUUUAUCUCUUUUGUUAUAUUUAUUAUGUUAUGAAUGUUAA
rnacentral:lncRNA from 1 species